rnacentral:rRNA from 1 species
GCAAACUGGAGAUGGCGACCGGCGCACGGGUGAGUAACACGUAUCCAACCUGCCGAUAACUCGGGGAUAGCCUUUCGAAAGAAAGAUUAAUACCCGAUGGCAUAAUAGAACCGCAUGGUUUGAUUAUUAAAGAAUUUCGGUUAUCGAUGGGGAUGCGUUCCGUUAGGCAGUUGGUGGGGUAAUGGCCCACCAAACCUUCGAUGGAUAGGGGUUCUGAGGGGAAGGUCCCCCACAUUGGAACUGAGACACGGUCCAAACUCCUACGGGAGGCAGCAUG